AGUGACAAAAUCUCCUCAACCUUACAAUUGCGCAAUAAGCAAUCCCUUCUCAGGCUCGUGCGCAAGAACUGGUCGGUUACUGUGGGCAGGAACUGAUAAUUUUUACUUUUGUUAUGAAUUUUUCAGUACUUGGAAUGUGGCGUACAGAAGUAACGUGGAGGGACCUGGGGUGAGGAGAGCUCCGAGGGCACUGGCAGGAGGGAGCAGGGCAGGAGGGGGGUCCGAGGCUUCCCCCUUCAUCACCAGCAGGCUUUGACUCACUACUGGCCUUUCAGCCUGGAAAAUUACACUAGGCGAGGAAGUGAAGUGAAGGCGAGGAGCCCGUGUUUAAGGGGCCGAAGGCAGCACCCGCCGCUCUCAGAGGGGCCGGAGAGCCCAGCGUCCUCCCUCUCCAGCGCAGGGGAAAGGUGCAACCGCAGACGCGGCCCUUGGGCUGCUUGUCCCGCAGGGACGUGACGGACGACAGGCUGCAGGGUGACAGAGUGACUCUUUGGCGACCAGAUGUGAAGAAGCAGCACCAAACAAGAGCACCAUUAGACCAAAAAGUCGUCCCGUCUGAGGCGCCGGAGCAGCGGCGCGGGGCUUGAUGCAAAGCGGAGCAGCCCGGGCAGUAGGACAGCAGCAAUUCAGAGCACUUUUCAGCUAAUUUGGCUCCUUUCAGGACUUGCAGCUCCAUAAAGCAAAGAUUGUUGGGGUUUCAGAGGGUGGCAGCGGCUGCGGGAGCUCGCGCUGCCGGCGUGGUCCCCAGGCACCCUUGGGUGCUGCCUGCGCCGGGCUCGGCCAAAGCCUGGGUGCCCCCGCGCCAGAGCGCAGGGAGGGUCCCGGCGUUUGCCGCAUCCACCCCGGCAGCCUCUGUUCAGACGUUCCCAGCGUCCGUGGUGGUUCUUGCACACGCUGCAAACCACUCGUAGCAGCAGGAGCACUUUUUCCUGUCUAUAAGGCAGCUCUGACUUGGCAGGGCUCGUCAAGGAUACAUGAUAUUUACCUCCAAUUUGCAUAUGUUUUGUGAAUGGCAAGGGGCACACGCUGCCGCUGUGUCACUGGUAACCGCUCGCUGCUUUUAUUUCU